rnacentral:rRNA from 1 species
AACGAACGCUGGCGGCAGGCUUAACACAUGCAAGUCGAGCGCCCCGCAAGGGGAGCGGCAGACGGGUGAGUAACGCGUGGGAAUCUACCCAUCUCUACGGAACAACUCCGGGAAACUGGAGCUAAUACCGUAUACGUCCUUCGGGAGAAAGAUUUAUCGGAGAUGGAUGAGCCCGCGUUGGAUUAGCUAGUUGGGGGGGUAAUGGCCAACCAAGGCGACGAUCCAUAGCUGGUCUGAGAGGAUGAUCAGCCACACUGGGACUGAGACACGGCCCAGACUCCUACGGGAGGCAGCAGUGGGGAAUAUUGGACAAUGGGCGGAAGCCUGAUCCAGCCAUGCCGCGUGAGUGAUGACGGCCCUAGGGUUGUAAAGCUCUUUCGCAGGUGAAGAUAAUGACGGUAACCUGAGAAGAAGCCCCGGCUAACUUCGUGCCAGCCGCCGCCGUAAUAC